AAGUAUAAUCAUUUGUCUGAGGUCACAAAGGGAAAUGAUUGCACACCUGGAAUGUAAGCCUUGGACUUGACUGCAACCUUGGCUCUGUCCACUGCUUCAGAUAGAGGCCUAAUGUUGUUCAAAAACUUGACUGAGAGAUAACUGACAUACAAUACACUGUACAUGGUUAAAGGACACAAUUUGAGUUACCCUGAUUGGCAAAACUUAGAGAAG